GGCCUCCCAAAGUGCUGGGAUUACAGGCUUGAGCCACCGCGCCCGGCUGCCAUCUUGUCUUGAAGUACAACUAAUUGCAUUUUGUGAUGUGGUUCUUUUGGGCUUAGUCUGAACGCCUUUAUUCAAGACUCACUUUCAUGUUAGUGAUAAAUCAUUAUCCAUAUGUAAUGGGUACAUGUGCCUCUCUUUUUCCUUUCUUUUCCAGCCAAGUAGUGACUCACCAAAAAAAGUUGAGAAUCCCUUGAAUUAGGAUAUUUAAGUCUAAAAGUGGAUGAGAACUUUAUGAGACUCUUAUAUGUAAAUAUUAUUAAGAUUUAUAAAUCGACUCUAGAAACUGGAACAAAAUAAACAAGCACUCAUUUGUUUUUCUAAAUCCAGUCCAAUCCUAAGGCCCUCCUGUCUGCACAUAUUGGGACUCUCCUCCCCACCACCACCUUCCCAUUUGGUGAAAGGGUGUGGUCCUUGGUCUCUGGUGGUUCCCAUGGUUACUGAUGCACUUCCUGUCAGGAAGCAAUGGUUGGUGCAAUGCCAUCUGUCAAACACUGCUCUUGUGAUGGGUCACACAGAUGUCCCUCGAGGUGUUCCUCUCACCAACUGCAGGCUUAGCCACACACUGCUGCUUUCGAGGCCACAGAACUUAAUGAUCAGUCACCAGAGAUAGCUGUGUGCAAGUUCUCUGCCAGCCCCAGGUGGAAGGUUUUCUAAGAAAGGUGGAGUGGCUGUAUUUUUAUAUUCAAUUCAACAAACGUUUAUUGAAAGCUGCCUAUAGGCCAGGCACUGUGACAAGAUUUGAGGAUUUAAAGAUGAAUCACAAUUUCUGUUGCCAAAAAUGUAUAAUCUCGGUGGGGUAGAAGUGGAAUGCAUAUAAACAUAAUAAUUAGUAUUACAAAUCAGAAUUUGAUAAACCCCCUUAGAGACUGUGCAAAGGAAGGAUGUUUGCAGUGUGUCUUCUUCCAGAAUGUAACUUGAAUCUGUACUUGGCUGCAUCUCUGCUGAUUCUGCUCUGUCAGAGGCACCAUCCUUUCUCUCCUGGAGAACUUAGGGUUUCCUCACCAUUCCUCUGCCAUUGCACCCCUGCCGACAUGGCAUGUUCUCUGUACAUACAGCAGUCUCAGUGAUAUUGGUGAUUCCUUUAAAAAGCAAAUCAGGGUUGGGUAUGGUGGCUCAUGCCAGUAAUCCCAGCACUUUGGGAAGCCAAGGAGGGAGGAUCACCUGAGAUCAAGAGUUCAAGACCAGCCUGGCCAACAUAGUGAAACUCCAUCUCCACAAAAAUACAAAAAUUAGCCAGGCAUGAUGGUGAGUGUCAGUAAUCGCAGCUACUCAGGAGGCUGAGGCAGCGAAUCACUUGAACCCAGGAGGCAGAGGUUGCAGUGAGCUAUCACGCGAUUGCACUCCAGCUUGGGCAACAAAGCGAGACACUGGCUCAUAAAAAACAAAAAAAAGCAAAUCAGGCCUGUAAUCCCAGCACUUUGGGAGGCCAAGGUGAGAGGAUAGCUUGAGCUCAGAAGUUCAAGACCACCCUGGAUAGCAUAGUGAGACCCCCAUCCCUACCAAAAAUACAAAAAAUUAGCCGGGCAUGGUAGCACAUGCCUGUAGUCCCAGCUACUCAAGAGGCUGAGGUGAGAGGACGGCCUGAGCCCGGGAGGUAGAGGUGGGGGUUGCAGUGAGCUGAGAUUGUGCCACUAUACGCUAGCCUGGGUGACAGAGCAAGCCUCAACUCAAAACAAAAAACAAAACUUUAAAAAAAAAAAAAA
ensembl:lncRNA